rnacentral:lncRNA from 1 species
UUAGGAGCAUUGGAGUGACUAGGAGUAGCAAUUCCGCUCGCUGUUUGCGAGCUAGCUCGUGUGAGCUCGAGAUCGAAUCGUUCUUUUGGUAAACUAGUCGAAUACGAGCUGAAUUUUUCAGCUCGUUUAAUAAACAAGCUGAACGUGAGCUGGAAUCAACUUGCUCGUGUUCGGCUCGAUAACAGCUCGAAUACAUAUAUUUUAUGAGAAAUGAUUUGCUACUUUACUUAUUUUAUAUAAG